UCAUUAAGUAUAAAUGAAUUCCUAUGGUGAUGCUUUAAUGCCCGCGUAUCACAGAUAUAAAAUGUGCUAUGAUAGGUUAGUAAGACAUAAAUUCUUGUAUAUAAAUGGCUAGUCAACACAGGCAUAGAAAUCAAAAGAGGCAGAGAAGUGGAAAGGAGGCAGAGAAGUAAAAUUUACCACUGUUUCGGAGAUUUGACCCAAAGUUGGUAUUUUUUAAAUACAUAAUCCUGUAUAUCUUAACGGCAAUUUUUUUGCAUUAUUCUUCAUGAUCAUCUACAAAUCUUCAUUCUAUUCUGCGUUUUCUUCACUUGCUGAACACAAUUCCUAGAAAGGCGAGUCGUUUAUACUGUACCUAAUUCUGGUGAGAACGUUCGCAGUGGCCAGACUACAUUACUUGAUCUUGUCAUUCAUAAAAUCGCCAGCAACUGAAGCAAUCCCUCCCCGUUCUGUGCUAACCGCCAGCAACAGAAGUAGAUAAAGGUGGAAAAAUACCUGAGUAAUUUGGAUGUCGAACAGUUUUUAGAAAAAAUUUGUUUUCUCUUUUUUUUGCGUUUGUGCAACGUAUUUUGUAGACACUGGCCUCAAACUGAAACUAAUUACAUUUCCUUCAAAUACCUCUCUGAAAACCAUUGUGUAAAGCAAACUGACUUAACUGAAUAUUUUUAUAUUUUUAAAGAAAUGUGUCUCCAAAUCCAAUUGACCCUAUGGAGCUGUGGCUAGAUGAAAAUUGUCAAAAAUUCAAUGCUCUUAAAAAUGUAUUUGGGUCUGUUAUCGUAAAUUCCAAAGCUUACGCCAUUUAAAGUGAACACUUUGUGAAGAGUGUUUAAAAUUUCUUGGUUUAUCAAGCGCAAGGUUUUUAGAAUUGCAAACUUUGGUGUAAGCUACGGUGGAGGUACUAUAAUAAUGUAUGAAAGAAUUGAACUUAAAUGCGACUAAAAUUAAACUGUACAUGCAAGUUGCACGGCGGCAGUUGCAGAGGUUUGCACGAUUUAAAUACAAUUUUUUAAAUUAUUAUUACUAUUAUUUACAAAAUUUUAUCCUUUAGUUUCCUCCUUCAUUUUGCACUUCCUGCAAGAUGCAGCUUAUAUAAUCGGGGUAUUUAUCUGGGGCAAAUCAAUGAAAAGUAUAGGUAUGUUCCUGUAACUGUCUGUACCAGGCUGAAUUGGGACAAUCAAUAUGACGUUUUUAUAAUGUAAAGAUUCUAUUCAUUUGCUGUCAAUGUCAACGCUUACAGUUGUGGCGUAAGAUGGAUCCACAAAGUGAUGUGAGUAGUUCACCACCGGCAGUAGAUCCUUUUGAAAAGUUGGCAUUAAGCAGUUUAAAUGACAAAGGUCGUAGCAUCACAGUAAAAUUUACAACAAACGACGGCACAGUUUUCACACAAACAUAUUCGUCAAAAAUAAAAAUAUCUGAAAUUAAAGACAUUUUGGAAGAUGUGUUUGGUACUACCGCAGAUAACAUGUUAAUUAAAGAAGGCCGCUCACUUGUCAGCGAUGAUAAGGUACUUAACGAAUUUAACGUUGGCGAUUUUAAUAUGUUAGAGUUGUAUCUUUAUUCGAAAAAUCCCGACUUUACAAUUUCUGCUACAAAUGCUUACAAAGAAUUUGCAACAGUUCCCGAUGUUAUUACAGUACACAUGCUCGAUUCCGACGCAGAGGAUGGUUGGCGUGAUAUUGUUGUUGAAAUGAUGAACCAAUGCAUUGAAAAACCGUUUAUUGGAGGGUAUGUGAAUAAAGAUAGCGGAGUUGAAUACCAUCAUGGAUACUCUCAGACAGGGCCUCCUAAACCAAAAGUUCAUCAUACGCAGAAAAGUCAUAGAGAUACGCAAACUUAUUUUUUGCGAAAUCGUCUUUUAGACACUAAUUAUGCACAAGCAACUCAAAUGGCAAAAGAAGACUUGUGGAUUCCGUCAAUUACAGAUAGAAUUUUAGUAGCUGGACCUUACGAAACAGCCGAAGAAUGGGAAAAAAGAAGAGAUGUUGAAAGGAAAGUGCGUACCAUUCAAAGGUAUUUUCGAGCUUGGAAGAUCAGAAAAGCCCUAAAAGAGCUAUGUGCCGAAUAUAAGAAGCGCAUUCGACUAGAGGAAGAGUUGAACGAUUUUUAUAAACAAGCUGAUGAAGAUAGGAAGGCACAAGAACUUGUUGGAAAGGUUUUUCCUAGAACUAAAGAAGAUUUUAUUAUGUUAUACGCUAUGGUUGAUCGAUGGAAAAAAUCAGAAAUUAAACGCAUUUGUUAUAGCUAUUCAGGACCUGCCAAAAUUUCAUCGUUUUUUAUGUUGCUCGAUAAGGAAAUACAAAUGUUAAGGGCAAUUGAAGCUCACAGACAUCAAAUUAAAAUGGAAAUGAAAAUUAAGAAAGAACACGAUUUUUUUAAGACCAUUGGAAAUCCGAUAGAGUGGAAUAAACAUUACAAAGAUUGGACAAAUAAAGCCAUAGACUUCAAUAUUCAAAUGGAUACCUUAGAGACGCAACAGGGAAAUGAAUACUACAACAUUUUCUUAUCGUUAAAUGAUAUUGAUGUAGGAGUAGAGGAGAAAAUUCAAGCCUUACUGAACUUGAAAUUAUUGUUAUGUGACCAUAAUUGCUAUUUAUCCAAUGAAUUGGUGGAGUUAAUUGACCGAGCUUGUGAAUUGAUGGUAAGAGGUAUUAAUAGAAAGCACUUGGAUAUACUUAUGAAACGCAUCAAAGGAUUAUUUAUCAAACACAUUAAAACUCCAGAAUGUAAUAAUGGAGUAUGUAAGCGGAUGCUCCGAAUUAAGGAGAAAAUUAUGCACUCCAAUCUAUAUUGUUGCAACAGAUGCGGAAAAUUAAAGUGUCAUUCAGAAUUCCCUGCAAAUUCUCAGUUAGAGAAAUUCCAAGUUUGUUUAACCUGUACCUGGGAUGAUCGUGUAAUGGAACCGUGGGUGGAUGUGGCCCCGUAUCGUUUCAUAUUACGUUUAAUACGCCACGAAGAAAAACUGAAACUUAGUGAAUCGUCUAUUGCGUUUAUCUUGCAACCCAAGGAUAUUCACUAUAUUGUGGUUAAAAUUUGGCAUGGCCAUUCAGCACUCACGGAAGUGACAGACAUAUACAACUUGCGUUUAUGUAGGUGGUUCAUCGAUCAAGAAUGGGCGCCAUGGAACUGUGUUUUAUUAACAACCGAGGAGAUGAAGGUGCAUUAUGAAAUUAAAAACUUGGAGGAUGUUUAUGAUCUUCAUUUUUUGCAUCGUGUGUUUAACAAGCAUGAACUAGCUAAGCAACAUUUCAAGAUUGCUCUAAAACUAGAAAAUUAUUUUCAAGAAGUUGGAGAGAAUACUAAGCGAUGGCAUGAAAUUAAAAAUUUCAAAGAGUUUAUUGCUGUACACAGUAAGACGCAUGUGUUUGCAAAGUGUCAUUAAUUAAAAAUGUUAUCUUGUGGAAUAUCAAUAAAUUAUUGAAAUAAUAAUAUGUUGUUAAGUACUUUUUGCUUUUACAUGAAUAAAAAACUUCAUUUUCGUGUGCGAUACGUGUUACUUUAAGGCCUACUGUAUUGAAAUGCAUCAGGAUCUUUAAGAUAAGCAGAUGUCACAGAUAGCGCCCUCUUUCAAAUUUCCCGCACUAACUGCAACUAUUUUAUUUACAAGAUUAGGUGAAAAUUUGUAUAAUGGUGGAAGAACUUGCGUGCCCUCCUCUUUGCUUACAGAAAUCUUUUAAUUAACAAAAUCAAAAUGCUUCUAUAUUGUAUGCAGUUAAACAAAUCUUCUAUUUUGUUAAUUUAGUUAGAAGUAUGUUGUGGAGGUGCCCUAUCCAUUUAUGUUUUUUAACCAAGAGUUAUAUAUCUAUAAUAGUGCACAUAUCGGAAGAAAGACAUUCUUUGAUUUAAUGAAAUGUUAUCUUUAAUAGACAAAAUGGAAGAAAAAAUCAUUUGAAUAUAGUUUUGAGUGAGUUCAGGGUCCCCUUUGCAUUGCACUAUACAACCCAUUCUUUUUGUAAUACACGAAUUACCUUUUGGAAAAGCCAAAAACUGAAUCUGCGAUCCAUUUGCUUUCGAUUUGUUGGAGCUGCUAUUGCAUAUAACAACGUCACAAAGAUUUCCAUCCGGCAUCUAAUACCCUAUAUUGAUACCUACUUAAGUAACAGUAAGUAUUCAAUCGAAUUAUAAUAAGUAUACGUAAUAGAUUCUUCAGCACUGUCUGACAAUUAAGUACUUACACAGUUCAAAUAUAACUGUCAAAGUCAUUGAGUUAGAAAACUAAGUCAAAGUCAACAAAAAUUUAAACACCAAUCAAAUGGGACCUCCGGAUUCUCGAUGACGCGUCUCUCUAAAGUUACGAGGCAACCUCCUGUCUCUAGUAACCUUGGUCGCCACUGUACUAUUUACAACUCUGUGGUGCAUACCUACUCUCACUUUUUGUCCCGCGCCAACAGUCAUCUAUUCUCAAGAAAUAUCGCUCCCCAAAUCAUAACUGCUGGUGUACGGGCAGUAUGGCGCCCUGCAAAAAACUUGUAUACUAUAACUGAAUUAUGAAUUUAAUUAACCACACUAUGUGCAUAACAUAACCUAAAUUAAUCAAAUUACAUUAAUUUGAAGUACACUCAAGGUUAGUAGAGAGAGUAGGUUGCCUCGUAACUUUAUAGAGACGCGUCAUCGAGAAUCCGGAGGUCGCAUUUGAUUGGUGUUUAAAUUUUCGUUGACUUUGACAGUUAUAUUUGAACUGUAUAAGUACUUAUGUAAUUGUCAGACAGUGCUGAAGACUAUUACGAAUACUUAUUAUAAUUCGAUUGAAUACUUACUGUUGGAUACUUAAGUAUCAAUAUAAGGGAUUAGAUGCGGAUGGAAAUCUUUGUGACGUUUUUAUAUGCAACAGCAGCUCCAACAAAUCGAAAGCAAAUGGCAGUUUUUUGCUUUUCCAAAAGGUAAUUCCUGUAUUACAAAAUGAAUGGGUUAUAAAGUGCAGUGGAAAGGGACACCUGAACCCCGAACUGUGCAGUUUGCAUUUCCCGGUCGAAGACUGUGAAGAUGAAAUUUCAGUACCAGCUUAAGAGAAAGUAUAGAAGCCUGGAAUAUUGGGACCAAUCGUUGGUUACGUAUUAUUGUGUAUGAAAGAGUAAAGAAUGCUACAGUCCUAACUUACGCUUUAUCCGCCAUUUGGCA